CUUCCGUAGGGUGAACCUGCGGAAGGAUCAUUAAAGAGUAAGGGUGCUCAGCGCCCGACCUCCAACCCUUUGUUGUUAAAACUACCUUGUUGCUUUGGCGGGACCGCUCGGUCUCGAGCCGCUGGGGAUUCGUCCCAGGCGAGCGCCCGCCAGAGUUAAACCAAACUCUUGUUAUUAAACCGGUCGUCUGAGUUAAAAUUUUGAAUAAAUCAAAACUUUCAACAACGGAUCUCUUGGUUCUCGCAUCGAUGAAGAACGCAGCGAAAUGCGAUAAGUAAUGUGAAUUGCAGAAUUCAGUGAAUCAUCGAAUCUUUGAACGCACAUUGCGCCCCUUGGUAUUCCGAGGGGCAUGCCUGUUCGAGCGUCAUUACACCACUCAAGCUAUGCUUGGUAUUGGGUGCCGUCCUUAGUUGGGCGCGCCUUAAAGACCUCGGCGAGGCCUCACCGGCUUUAGGCGUAGUAGAAUUUAUUCGAACGUCUGUCAAAGGAGAGGACUUCUGCCGACUGAAACCUUUUAUUUUUCUAGGUUGACCUCGGAUCAGGUAGGGAUACCCGCUGAACUUAAGCAUAUCAAUAAGUCGGAGGAAAAG
rnacentral:rRNA from 1 species